rnacentral:rRNA from 1 species
GACCUACGGGAGGCAGCAGUGAGGAAUAUUGGUCAAUGGGCGGAAGCCUGAACCAGCCAAGUCGCGUGAGGGAUUAAGGCCCUGCGGGUCGUAAACCUCUUUUGCCGGGGAGCAGUGGUCCAGACGCGUCCGGACCGGGAGAGUACCCGGAGAAAAAGCAUCGGCUAACUCCGUGCCAGCAGCCGCGGUAAUACGGAGGAUGCGAGCGUUGUCCGGAUUUAUUGGGCGUAAAGCGAGUGCAGGCGGUUCAAUAAGUCU